rnacentral:rRNA from 1 species
GUCGAGAAUCUUUCACAAUGGGGGCAACCCUGAUGGAGCGACGCCGCGUGGAGGAUAAGGUCUUCGGAUUGUAAACUCCUGUCAUGCGUGAACAAGGUUGCUUGGUUAAUACCUGGGCAAAUUGAUGGUAACGCAAGAGGAAGAGACGGCUAACUCUGUGCCAGCAGCCGCGAUAAUACAGAGGUCUCAAGCGUUGUUCGGAAUCACUGGGCGUAAAGGGUGCGUAGGUGGGGUGGUAAGUCAGAUGUGAAAGCCCGGGGGUCAACCUCGGAACUGCAUCCGAUACUGCCAUGCUAGAGUACUGGAGAGGUGACUAGAAUUCUCGGUGUAGCAGUGAAAUGCGUAGAUAUCGAGAGGAAUACCAAAGGCGUAGGCAGGUCACUGGACAGUUACUGACACUGAGGCACGAAGGCCAGGGGAGCGAACGGGAUUAGAAACCCGGGUAGUCC